rnacentral:ncRNA from 1 species
CUAAGAAAAAGGCAAAUCACUUGAAAAGGUGGGACGCAAAGCCAAGGUCUAACGGUGCAUAUACCUAUGACAGCCUAGCUACCUAA